CGUGAGGGAAAGGUGAAAAGAACCCCGGGAGGGGAGUGAAAUAGAACCUGAAACCCUGCACUUACAAGCUGUGGAAGCACAUUUCUUGUGUGACCGCGUACUUUUUGUAGAACGGGCCAACGAGUUACGUUAAGUAGCAAGGUUAAGCACUUAAGGUGCGGAGCCGUAGCGAAAGCGAGUUUUAACUGAGCGUUCAGUUAUUUGACGUAGACCCGAAACCGGGCGACCUACCCAUGAGCAGGAUGAAGCGAAAGUAAAAUUUCGUGGAGGUCCGAACCCACGAGCGUUGAAAAGCUCGG
rnacentral:rRNA from 1 species